rnacentral:rRNA from 1 species
AUUGAACGCUGGCGGCAUGCCUUACACAUGCAAGUCGAACGGCAGCGCGGGAGCAAUCCUGGCGGCGAGUGGCGAACGGGUGAGUAGUGCAUCGGAACGUGCCCAGUUGUGGGGGAUAGCCCGGCGAAAGCCGGAUUAAUACCGCAUGAGACCUGAGGGUGAAAGCGGGGGAUCGAAAGACCUCGCGCGACUGGAGCGGCCGAUGUCAGAUUAGGUAGUUGGUGGGGUAAGGGCCUACCAAGCCGGCGAUCUGUAGCUGGUCUGAGAGGGCGACCAGCCACACUGGGACUGGGACGCGGCCCAGACUCCUACGGGAGGCAGCAGUGGGGAAUUUUGGACAAUGGGCGCAAGCCUGAUCCAGCCAUGCCGCGUGCGGGAAGAAGGCCUUCGGGUUGUAAACCGCUUUUGUCGGGGAAGAAACGGCCUGGGCUAAUACCUUGGGCUAAUGACGGUACCCGAAGAAUAAGCACCGGCUAACUACGUGCCAGCCGCCGCCGUAA